rnacentral:tRNA from 1 species
ACUUGAAUAGCUUAUAGUUAAGAGCGUAACACUGAAGAUGUUAGUGAGGUUUUGCCUUCGAGUA